UAAUGUUCGGCACACCACGAAGACUAAUACUCUCAAGCAUAUGACCUUCAAUAGUUUUCAAAAAAACAUCCUCUUCAAUCAUAUUAUCGUCAUCUUCUGCCUUACGGUCAUCAUCGCGAAUGAUACGACAACGAAUGAUAAGCUUGUCUGCAUUAUCCUCAGACCAAAUAGUAAAAAGAUCACGUUCAAAGCUUUCAGCAA